UUCAGCUCUUGGAAAGACACUGUAUGAGAUAUCAGGCUUAUUUUGGGAAAAGAUAUACAAUAUUUACUGCAUUGUUUAUUUUAAUAUCACACUAACACAUCGUCACUGACAAUUUUUGGCCAUUUCAGAUCAUGUAUGAUAUGGAUAUUUUGGAAGAAAAGGUACUUUUGGAUUGGGGAAAGCAAAGUUAGCAAGAAAUACGUAAGCAAAGAGCUGAGCCAAGAGAUCCACAGCAAAAGCAGAGCCAUUCUUGACUUGGCUUCGAGAGGCAGAAGAGGAGGAAGAGAGCAGUGGAAGACGAAAAAGAAGAUGAUCUUGAAAUUGAGUACGAUGAUCGAGCCAAAGCGACUCCGCUGAAGGAAACCAAAGUCAUUGUGGAGAAGCCUAAACCUCUUGAAGACGAUGAAGGGGAAGACGAUGUGGACAUUGAUGCCAUUUGAACUUGUCCAUCUCUCAAAAUUGACAAAUAAACAUCUAGACGCUAAACAUUUGUUAGGAAUUUAAUUUUGUUGGUAAAUUAGAAUCUACAUAUAGUUAUGAAUUUGGAAUAUUUGUUAAAUAUAAGAUUUAUACUGUAAAUGACUGUAAAAGCAUUUCAGUGCAAUUGAGUUCAGUUUUAUUGGAGGGGGAUCAAUUAUCAUAAGACAUAGACAUAUUUGUGCGCUCUACUUGAUGGCAUUGCUUAUGUUGUCAGUACAUUUCUCUAUUCUUUAAUUUGUAUUGUGUUGAUAAUACUACUAUGUGUAAACUUUCAAAUGGUCUCUAAUGAUAUAACUUUUCACUACCAAAUAGAAAUUAUAUUAUGUAUAAAUGUAAGAAUGGAGUUGUUGAACACAAAGACUGUUAACAAAUUCAUGUGGUUGGGGUUAUUUUGUUUUUUAAGUGUUCAGAUUGAUAUUACUCAAAGUUAUUUUUCUAUUCUGCGCGAAUUUGUUAUGGAUUUUGUUCAUGAUUAACUAUAAUAUUAACUCAGAUUUUUCCAUAAAAAGAUGUUGAGAAAGAAGCGUAACCAUUGUUUUAUUUUAUUGGUGGGUGAAUAUCAGAAAGAUCCCGGUAAUGAACUGAGAACUGUCAAUAACAUGUGUGAAAUGUGUGUAAGUUCACUGUGAUCGGUUUACAAACCACUGUACGCUACGCAAAUGUAUGUUUAGUAGAAUGAGAUGACUGCCUUACUGGUAUAGCUGGUAUAUUUUUAUCAAAUGAAAGGGUGAGCCAGUUUGUUUAUUCUUGUAGAUUUUACAAAUUUAUUGUCAUU